rnacentral:lncRNA from 1 species
UGGGUUCCGCGGCGAGCCCGGCCCGGGAGGGUCCCCAAGGCUGCGGGGCGGCUGAGCCCCCUCCCCGCGGCCUCCCCUCCGCCCCCAGAGCCGGGGGCUGCGGGCCCGGAGCCUCGCCGAGCCCGGGAUCCCCCACCCCGGCGGCGAGGCCGGGAUCCCCCGGCCCGGGGCGGCCAUGACACCCCCUCAGCCCUGCCCCAAGCUCCACAGCGCUGGCGGGUGCCAAACACGGGGUUUAUUUACAGACAGGCGUUACACAGCGCUUUCCAGCGACGAUUGUCAGACACCGGCGGUUGCCCUCGCCAGCCCGCAGGCAGGUGGAUGCCCUGCUCCCGCCCGUGCUCCCCCGCAGGCCGCGGCAGCCUCUCCUCAGCUUCAUUUCGGUGGGUGUUCAGCAACCACAACCCUCACCGGGGCCCUCCGGGCUGGGCCCAGGGUGUCUGCCAGCCCCGGGCAGCAAAAUAGUGUGAAUCCAGGUGAAAUCCUGGCAUCGCCCUCCUUUUCCUGCGGCGUGUUGGUGGCCAAAGAUGGAAAUCCGGCCUCUCUUCCUUCCAGUUGAGGGUGCAAAUAUGGAGGGCGAUGAGCACAAGGCCUGUGGGCGGUGAUCAACACCUCUUGGGACACUGGACUAACGAUACGCCUCGCGGCCAGGGAUACAUCCCCACCUCCCCGCUGCAGCAAACCCCCACCCAGAGCCCAGACUGGGGUGCUCGGGUCCGGGCAGCCUUGCCAAAAAGAGGGGAGAGAAAAAGCAGCGAGCCAGGAGCCUGCCUGCAAGCAGCGGGCAAAACGCUGGCAGGGGAGAAGGGGAAAGUUCUCCGGAGGGGUGAUCCUGUAUCUGUUCUCUUCUAGCUAAGCGCUGAGGCUGAAGGCACGGGUCUCUCUCCCCUCCCCACGCUGCAGGAGAUGCCUGAUGCGCCCCAGACUUCCACCGAGGGGGGAAAUAAAUCCCUCUGAAAACCCCCCAGCCCUUGGAGAAAAGGGGUCCCAAAACCCCUGGGGACAGACCCUUGGAGAAAAAAAGGGGCUGCAGCCUCCCCGCGGCGGCGCCGGCCGGUCCCGCGUCGGGCUGUGCGGCAGUGUUGGAAUUCAGAAUUUGCCUGGCACACCCCGUAUCGCAGCCCUGCAAAGAAAACCAACCUCUGUUUACAAACCUGCUCCCUGCCUGCGCCCCGUGUCCUCGCCCCCAAAAUUGCUGCCUGGCCCACGGGCUUUCUGCUCUUCUGGUGGGGAAAACCAAACCCCAAGAGCUGCCUCGCAGCAGCCAACAGGCUUUGAAAACGUAGUGGGGGCACGUGGGAAAAUCAUAUUGGGGUGA